rnacentral:rRNA from 1 species
AUGCGCGGCGGCACGGUGCAGAUCAACUGGCACGACCUGCAGCCGGUGCUCACCCUCGACUUCCACCCCGUAUCCCGCCGCCUCGCCACCGGCGGCGGAGACCACGACAUCAAGAUCUGGGCGAUAGCGUCGGAUGAGUCGGAGGAGAAGCUCCCCACCGCUUCCUACGUCAGCAGCCUCUCGUCUCACAGCUCCGCCGUCAAUGUUCUCCGCUUCUCUCCUUCUGGUGAAAAUCUGGCGUCCGGUGCUGAUGGUGGUGGUAUUAUCCUUUGGACAUUGCACUCCACUGAUGAUGGCGAGGCUUGGAAAAUACACAAAUCCUUAUUGUUCCAUCGCAAGGAUGUUCUUGACCUGCAGUGGUCGAGUGAUGGGUCAUACCUUGUUUCUGCUUCAGUUGACAACAGUUGCAUAAUAUGGGAUGCUAAUAAAGGUGUGGUGCAACAGAUGUUGGAAGGCCAUUUGCAUUAUGUUCAGGGGGUGGCAUGGGAUCCUCUGGGUCAAUAUAUUGCCUCUUUGAGCUCUGACAGAACUUGUAAAAUUUAUGCAAACAAGCCUCAAGGCAAAUCCAAGAAUACAGAGAAGAUGAACUUUGUUUGCCAGCAUACACUAGUGAAGGCAGAACUUCAAAAUCAUGACGAGUCUAAGCCACCAGUUAAAACUCAUUUGUUUCAUGAUGAGACAUUACCAUCUUUCUUCCGGAGGCUGGCAUGGUCACCGGAUGGGUCUUUUCUGGUACUGCCAGCAGGCCUGUGCAAAUACUCAUCUGAAGUGAUCAACACUGCCUAUAUUUUGUCAAGGAGAGACUUGUCAAGGCCUGCAAUACAACUCCCUGGUGCAAGUAAAGCUAUAGUAGCAGUUCGUUUUUGCCCUAUUGUUUUCACCCUACGUGGUUCUCAAUCAGAAGGUUUAUUCAAGCUUCCUUACCGAGCUGUUUUUGCCGUUGCCACUUUCAACUCUCUGUAUGUCUAUGACACCGAAAGUGCUGCUCCAAUUCUAAUACAUGCUGGUCUACAUUAUGCCGCCAUUACGGAUAUUGCAUGGUCUCCUGAUGCGAAGUACUUGUCAUUGUCAUCACGAGAUGGUUACUGCACUAUUAUUGAGUUUGAGAAUGAGGAACUAGGGCAGCCACAUGCCCUCUCAGGAAAAAAGGAAGUUACAGAGGGAAAUGUCACAUGCAGAAAUACCAAGCCACCAACAGUAGAUAGCAUGGAAGUUGAUGUCAGUACCCGCAAAAUUAAGAAGUCAGGCAGCCCCGUGGGUACAGUGACACCUCCACCAGUGUUGGCCGAAAAUAGCACAUUGAGAAUGAAGGAAGGAAAUGUGGCCUGUGAACAUGCAAAGCCAAAGGCAGACAGCAUGGACGUUGAUGUUGGUGCCAGCAAAGCUAAGACGGAAGCCAGUCCUAUGUCUGUAGAGGUGACACCGCCACCAGUGUCAGCCCAGAAGAGUGCAUCGAGUAAGCCUACUAAGAAGCGAAUUACUCCUAUUGCAAUUAACUAA